UUUAAUUAUUUUUCCCACAUGAUGUCCUUUCAGGUUCCAGGAAACAGCACGGGCAUGUAUUAGGCAUAAUAAGUUAAGAAAUCUGAAACUCAAAGGAA